ACCAGGUCCACCACUAGCAACCUCCACGUUUAGCUUUUGGAAGCUUCCCAACCCAGUCCAUUUAGUUUUUUAUGGAGGCCUCAUUACACAGGUAUAACCAACUAAAUCGUUGGCCACUGGUGAUCAGCUCCACUUUCAGCCCUGGUCUGUGCCCAGAUCAUGCCUUGGUCUUUCUGGUGGCCCAUCCCAUACUGUCCUGAGGCUUUCUAACCCUCAGCCACCAGUCAUCUCAUUUGAAGACACUUGGGACUCUGGCGAUUCCAAGGUGCUCUGUGUCUGGAACCAGAGAAUAAUCAUUUUCCAUGAAUUCCUAUAUGGAUUUUUAAAAGAACACAACAGUACUGAACUAUCUGAAGUACUCAUUCCUGAAAAUCAUGAACAUGGACACAAAUUCUACCUCUAUCAACUUUUAUUUAAAUCAGUGGAUAUUUAUGUAAUGUGUUUUGGUUUAAAAGAAUUGUAUCUAGGUAUAUAUUUUCAUAUAUGUGCCAGAACAAAUAUGUAUUAAUAGUGCUUAACUGAUGUGAUAUUUAUAUUUUAUUAUUAUUCUUGUCUUAAAGUACUCCUUAAAAUGUUUAUACUGUGAAUUAAUAUAAUGUAUUUUUCACAUUAUGCAUCAAUAAUCUGUUUCUUAAUGAGCCAUGAUAAAUGUAUGUAAAUAUUCUUAUAAUACUUGUUUUUAAUGUGUUUUCAGUUUCCAGACCUGUGUUUGUAACCCAUAUCAUAAUCUGUUCACAAAGAAAUAUCACCUUUGAUGCUGUGCAUCAUGCUUUCUUCUAAAUGUAAAAUCAGUUAUUCACAAAUUUGCUGUCAUCAAGGGGAAUAUAUUCAAGUGUAGUCAAUUUAUCAGAGGUCUUGAUAAAAUAACUUGCCAUGUGUAAUUAAUUAUUGCCACCUAGAAGAACUGUGAUGAGAAAGAUACACUUCUAUAUAAUAUUAUAUUAUUUUGACUAUUACAUGGGCUCAUCACAUAAUACAAGUUCUGUGAAAAUCUAAAUGUAUUUAGAGUUUUGUAAAACACAGUUUAGGGAAA
rnacentral:lncRNA from 1 species